GACAAGGACCUUGUUAGACUUUUGAGCAUUCUGCUUGUAUCUGUCCUGGCUAGGUUCGGUAGUUGCGUUCACCGUACACCCUUUUAUGCAGGUUUUUGUAAAGCUACCGAUUUGCACUGGCCAGCGCGUGUGUGCACGGACGGCAGAGGACGAGAAAGCCCAGCAGAGGCUACAGAAGGGGACCCCAUGGAGACUCACAGCCAAUAGAAAUGAUCACUUGAGAUGGCUUCCCAGUCCCUUCUCAGGCAGCACAAGCAAAACCAGCUUCAAGUUCCUGAUUUGCAUGUUGUUCUGAGUGGCUGUUUCUUAGGCUGCUGUGCCUUCUGGCAACUAGAGGCUGUUUUCUUCUGAUUAAGAUAACAGCUUCAAUGUAGAGAGGAGGAGGAAGUAAGCAACAGCACUGUUCUUUUUUCAGCCAGAAAAGCUGAAGGUAAGACAUCAUUCUGAAUUCAGUGGAACUGGGAGUCAAGCACCAUGGCAAUAUCUCACAGGCUCUGGGGAUGCAGCUCUUUCUGACUGGCUUCUUCCUCCUGUGAACAAGAAGAAAGUGUGACCUGCAAUGUCAGCAAGCUACCAGGAAGUCUAGCAACACUCCAAGAGAGAGGCAAGGGCUUUCUGUACAUCAGAGAUCUGCUCCUUCUUCAGCUUCAGCCUCGUGAGUGUCCGGUUGUAGCUCUGGUACCAAAGAUAGAGACCCAGAAUCACGCACACAGAACAGUGAAAAGUAGAACAGAGCAGACAAUGUGAUACAGUCUGUGGCUAAGGCUCACGUUAACACAUGCUGCAGAGGCGAUACCCUGUUCCCAGGGGUGAAAAAAGUGUUUGUGAUACAUUCAGCAGCACCUGAAGAAGGGCAGGGUCCCUGCAUCUGAAGGCCUGGCACCUCCUGAGAUCCAGCUGUGAGCCCCAGGGAGGAAAUGCAAAAGAAGGAAUCCUGACAUCUUUGGAAACCAAGGCAGGAACCCUGUGGACACUAAAGAGCUGCUCUAGUUUUACCUCAGCACGUCCUGAGCUCACUCCACUAUUCUUUUGGAGGAAAGCACUGGUCAAGUCCUGACUAGAGAGGCAGAUUCCUCAGGAGCUGCAAAUGAUUCACCACAUUUCCAUUUUUGUUCACUGGUUUUCUGUAACCAAAUCACUGUUUAGAUGAAAAUCAUUUGUCUGCAGUGCAAUUAUAUCCAUUCAACCUGCACAGUCCCAUGCCGCAAAAUACUUAUUUUUCUCUUCUUAUUCUUCACCAUGUUAUUCCAAACAAUCCAGUAAGUUUAUAUUUUAUAGGUAGGAAGACAAGAUGGGAAAGGUUUAGGUGGCCGUUUGAACACCCAGAGUCUGUCAUCAGUUUUGGGAUUAGGUGCUGCAUGUGAUUGAUAUUCAGGGAUGAGCUAAUCCCCUGAUUGAGCCACUUUUUAAGGAUAUAUUUGGGUGAUUGAGAAAGAGGAGGUGAAGAAGGAGUGGGGGCCAAACCAGUCUCUGGUAACAUUGUGUGUUUGCAAACCAGUUACCUCCUAUCUGUGUUCCAAUGCUUUCCAAACUCAUUCUAUCUCAGCAUUCAGGCACGUUAGCUGGGAUCCUGGAGUACCUGUGGGGGGCUCUCAGCAUAUUACAGAAGCUGUGAUCAGGUGGGGACAUCAUUGGGGGGAGAUAUUGCAGUCCCUUGGUAGUGGUUUGAGAGGUGCCAUCCAGGCAUUUGUCCCCCAAAGCUGUACAGACAAGUAUCUCACAUGAAAGCAAAACCCUGCUGCUGCAGGACAGGCAGCAAAGGAUUCUGCCUGGGUUCUUCCUGUGUGAUAUUUUUGCUAUUCAGGGGGGCUCUUGAAGCUUUAGGGUUGCUAAUCUUUACAUGCAAAUCCUUUUUCAGAGUUGUUAUUCCCAAGGCACACCACAGAGUCAGCAGGCUAUUUAAAAAGCAAAAUGGCACAGUGGACAAAUGAAGAAAACCCUCAGACUUUGGAUGUCCCCAGUGCCAAGCAGAGCCAGACAGUCUCCCCGUGUCUAUCAUAUGCCACUACUUGUACACCUGCAGUUCUUACCUGCAGAUCUGCUGUCUCACCCAGUUACUCUCCCAGUGCAGGUUCGGAUACUUGACUCUUCACCUCAAACUGGAGCUUUGUACUUGUCUAGUGAAUUGCAUCCUAUUAUUUAGUUCAGUCCAUGUAUCCCAUUUGCCAAGAGCUUACUAGAAAUCUAAGCAGGUGACCUCCAACACAUUUUCUGCUCUUCCUAGUCCAGUACAGUCUACAGAAGGAAGAAGUUUGGUCUGUCUUUCUUCAUGUGUAUCAGCAGGGAAAUUCAAAGUAGCUGUACUGCAGCUAGGGAUCCCAGAGUUGUUCCAGCAGCCCUCAGACUGAAAGUGGGUGCUCUUAGCCCAGUUUCCCAACACCUCCACAACCAUCUUCAUCUAGUUAAAAUUAGUAAAACUGUGGUG